GACGAGUCGAGUAGUUUGGGAAUGCUGCUCAAAGCGGGAGGUAAAUUCCUUCUAAAGCUAAAUACCGGCCAGAGACCGAUAGCGCACAAGUAGAGUGAUCGAAAGAUGAAAAGCACUUUGAAAAGAGGGUCAAACAGCACGUGAAAUUGUUGAAAGGGAAGCGCCUGUGGCCAGACUUGCGCCCCACCGCCCACCCUGCGCUGCGGCGCGGGGGCGUGCGCGUGGGGCGCGGGCCAGCAUCGGCUCGCCUGGGGGGACAAAGGCAGCGGGAACGUGGCGCUCUCCGGGGCGUGUUAUAGCCCGCUGCGGAAUGCCCCUGGGUGGGCCGAGGACCGCGCUUCGGCAAGGAUGCUGGCGUAAUGGCCACCGGCGACCCGUCUUGAAACACGGACCAAGGAGUCAAGCAUUGGGGCGAGUGUCCGGGUGGCAAGCCCGCACGCGCAGUGAAAGCAAACGCAGGUGGGAGCUUCGGCGCACCACCGACCGAUCCUGAUGUCUUCGGAUGGAUUUGAGUAGGAGCCCCGCCGCUUGGACCCGAAAGAUGGUGAACUAUGCCUGUAUAGGGCGAAGCCAGAGGAAACUCUGGUGGAGGCUCGCAGCGGUUCUGACGUGCAAAUCGAUCGUCGAAUAUGGGCAUGGGGGCGAAAGACUAAUCGAACCAUCUAGUAGCUGGUUG
rnacentral:rRNA from 1 species